rnacentral:rRNA from 1 species
UAGGGAAUCUUCGGCAAUGGGGGGAACCCUGACCGAGCAACGCCGCGUGAGUGAAGAAGGUUUUCGGAUCGUAAAGCUCUGUUGUAAGAGAAGAACGGGUGUGAGAGUGGAAAGUUCACACUGUGACGGUAUCUUACCAGAAAGGGACGGCUAACUACGUGCCAGCAGCCGCGGUAAUACGUAGGUCCCGAGCGUUGUCCGGAUUUAUUGGGCGUAAAGCGAGCGCAGGCGGUUAGAUAAGUCUGAAGUUAAAGGCUGUGGCUUAACCAUAGUAUGCUUUGGAAACUGUUUAACUUGAGUGCAGAAGGGGAGAGUGGAAUUCCAUGUGUAGCGGUGAAAUGCGUAGAUAUAUGGAGGAACGCCGGUGGCGAAAGCGGCUCUCUGGUCUGUAACUGACGCUGAGGCUCGAAAGCGUGGGGAGCAAACA